GUUGCCGAUGCUGGUGAAUUGGGGAGCUCUACCAUGCCAUGAAGUCUUUUGUUUGCUCAUCUUUCCGUUUUGUGUUUUUCUUUCUUAGCUAAUUUGUACGCCCUUCUAUGACUUUUGAAUAUCUUGAUGUACGCCAUUUGUGGCUUUGAAUAUUGUUGUCAUUGUUUCUUGGCGACUUUGAGCAAGUUAGCGAGUCGCCCUUCCUCUUUUUUCAUUGUAUUUGCAUUUUCAAGCUAGCGUUGUCACCAAUCUCGCCUCUUCGUCUUUCGCGAUUCGUCUCGCCUGUUCCGUUGUACUUGCAUUUUUACGUUGGCGUUGACAACAAUCUCGCCUGUUGCCUUUUUGGCGAUUAUAAAUGAUUCGGCGUCAUUAUGACUCGCCCUUCUUUGUUGUAG
rnacentral:lncRNA from 1 species